AAAAGUUUUGGUCCUAAACUUAAUGCUACUUUUAGUCAAAAUUAUACAUGCAAGUAUCAGCACACCAGUGAAAAUGCCCAACUAUAUACAAGGAGCAGGCAUCAGGCACGAGCCAUUCAGCCCAAAACGCCUUGCUAAGCCACACCCCCACGGGUAAUCAGCAGUAAUAGAAAUUAAGCUAUGAGCAAACAAUAAAUACUUUAAGCUUGACUUAGCUACGACUACCUUCAAGAGCCGGUCAAUCUCGUGCCAGCCACCGCGGUUAUACGAGAGGCCCAAAACAGCAACAUGCGGCGUAAAUAGUGACUAAAAUAUUGUUACUAAAUAAGAAACUAAACCAAAAUCUAACCGUAAAACCCAGAAUAAAUGAAACCCAUCUUUCUUAUAAAUAACUAUUUGAUUACACGAAAGUUAAGAAACAAACUAGGAUUAGAUACCCUACUAUGCCUAACUAUAAAUAGACACACCCCAACUACUAAGUGUUCGCCAGAAUAUUACGGGCGAAAGCCUAAAACUCAAAGGACUUGGCGGUGCUUCACACUCGACUUAGAGGAGCCUGUCCUAUAAUCGACAGUCCACGAUACACCUAACCACCUUUUGCUAAACACAGCCUAUAUACCGCCGUCUCCAACCUACCCUACAAAGGAAAAACAGUAAGUGCAAAAGCCAAACACAAGAACGUCAGGUCAAGGUGUAGCUCAUAAGGUGGAAGAGAUGGGCUACAUUUUUUAAAACAAACAACACAACAAAUAUUUUGAAACAAGUAUCCAAAGGCGAAUUUAACAGUAAAAUAAACAAGAAAACUUAUUUUAAACUCGCUCUGAAGCACGCACACACCGCCCGUCACCCUCCUCACAAUACAAAAAGAAUCUAUAAAAAACACACAAAACAAGAUGAGGCAAGUCGUAACAUGGUAAGCGUACUGGAAAGUGCGCUUAGAAACA
rnacentral:ncRNA from 1 species